CCUACGGGUGGCAGCAGUGAGGAAUAUUGGUCAAUGGGCGGGAGCCUGAACCAGCCAAGCCGCGUGAGGGAAGAAGGUACAGCGUAUCGUAAACCUCUUUUGUCAGGGCACACAGGCGGGGACUAGUCCCCGGAUGCGGGUACCUGCAGAAAAAGCAUCGGCUAACUCCGUGCCAGCAGCCGCGGUCAUACGGAGGAUGCGAGCGUUAUCCGGAUUUAUGGGGUGUAAGGGGUGCGUAGGCGGCCUGUUCAGUCAGCGGUAACAGCACGGGGCUCAACCCCGGCGAGCCGGUGAAACUGGCGGUCUGGAGUGGGAGAGAAGUACGCGGAAUGCGCGGUGUAGCGGUGAAAUGCUUAGAUAUCGCGCAGAACCCCGAUUGCGAAGGCAGCGUACCGGCUCCACACGGACGCUGAGGCACGAAAGCGUGGGUAUCGAACAGGAUUAGAUACCCCUGUAGUC
rnacentral:rRNA from 1 species